AGGAAGGACUGUUUACAUGUGAUAUAACCUCCACACUCAAGGAGGGAAGAUAACCAGGACCCUCACACAGCCCUCUAAACCUAACAAACACUCUAGUCACGUGUCAUGUGACAUGUCACUAAAAAUAAAACGCGGAACUCAUGGCAACAAUGCACGAUCUAGUAUUAGACGUUCCAUUAGAAAGAAGUUGAAGAAAAACACUCACCAGAGGUUAAAAGACCCCACAAGAUUUGACGCUCCCGAUUCCGACGAAGAAGCAUGGGUUGAUGAACUUUUUAUUAAACGUGCUACCAUUAUAGAGGUCACUAGACGGGUGAGGAACAAUUUAUUUCGUUCGAGAGAAUAUGUUUACAAAAUACACAUUCAGUGGAACAUUGGGAAAACAACUGCCGUGUACAGAAGCUAUGAUAACUUCUUCACGAUGCAGAUGCGACUUCUAGACUUCUUUGGAGAAGAUCCGGACUCACCGGACAGAAGCAUUCCCGUUUUACCAGGUCGAGCAAUAUGGACGUGGGGCACGAGAAACUUGGCGAUGAAAGACCAGCCAAGAAUACAAGCUUAUAUUGAUGAACUUCUGGAUCUGCCCUACAAAAUAUCUCGGUGCAAUCUUGUCUUAGAUUUCUUCAGAUUCAAGGAAACUGAUCCAAAAGAGGUAAUGGUGACUCUGCCGCAAGAACUUUAUCGACCUCCACAGAAUGAAAACAUUCUAAAACGCAGUUUUAGGAGAUCUUUCAGGAAAGUUAAGAAAACAUUGGUUCGAAGUAGAAGUGUGAGGUGUUAAACUCAUGAUUUCUCUACAGGAAAGUUAUAAAAACAUUGGUUCGAAGUAGAAGUGUGAGGUGUUAAACUCAUGAUUUCUCUACAGGAAAGUUAAGAAAACAUUGGUUCGAAGUAGAAGUGUGAGGUGUUAAACUCAUGAUUUCUCUACAGGAAAGUUAAGAAAACAUUGGUUCGAAGUAGAAGUCUGAGGUCAAUGACGGACGCGGAGCGGGAGAGGGAAAACAAUGCAAACUUCGACAUCGAACCUACAACUGCGUCGAAACCGAGAGUGAAAGUGGACAAGAUGGCCGUUCUAUUACAGUUAACGAGAACCUUGGGACCCACUGCCCUUAUGCCUCCUGACAUGUAUGAUGUGAUGUCCGGAAGUUACGCUCACGGUUCCCCAUACUGACUGUAUGUUAGUAUGCACGUGAUUGUUAAUGUACUUCAAUGUUCAAUAUGGAUUGAUCAUCCGGUGGUAUAAUACAGCGAUUGGGACAUUUUUACAAUUACUGUAUAUUUGUUUAAAAUUCACGAACAUGCAUGAAAUCUUUUCUAGUUCUACUGUCUACGGAGUAAAUUUAUAACAUUAUGUUAAUGUACAUAAAAGACUUGUUAUUAAUAUUAACAAUUAACUAGAUCAUAGAUAAGAUCAUAUUCAAUAUUUUUAAUGUUUUUAAAAUGGUUAAAAGUUGGAUAACAUAAGUUUAAUAAUUGAUAUGCAUAAUAUUAUAAAGUUUUUUCUAUUUUUGAGUAAUCUUAAUCUUUGAUCUUGUUGAUUAGAUUAUACGUGUUUGUAGUCGACAAAUUUAAUGAGCAAAAGCUGGCAUUUUGCCAUUUAUUUUUACUUCUGAUUUCAUGACUAAUAUUUUAAUGUGAAACAAACGACAUAUUCGGUGAUAAAAGUAUUUAGACAAAUUCUUGAUAAUCAUUUAUAUGAACAU